rnacentral:rRNA from 1 species
CCUACGGGGGGCAGCAGUGGGGAAUAUUGGACAAUGGGGGGAACCCUGAUCCAGCCAUGCCGCGUGUGUGAAGAAGGCCCUCGGGUUGUAAAGCACUUUCAGUGAGGAAGAACGCCUGGUGGUUAAUACCCAUCAGGAAAGACAUCACUCACAGAAGAAGCACCGGCUAACUCCGUGCCAGCAGCCGCGGUAAUACGGAGGGUGCGAGCGUUAAUCGGAAUUACUGGGCGUAAAGCGCGCGUAGGUGGCUUGAUAAGCCGGUUGUGAAAGCCCCGGGCUCAACCUGGGAACGGCAUCCGGAACUGUCAAGCUAGAGUGCAGGAGAGGAAGGUAGAAUUCCCGGUGUAGCGGUGAAAUGCGUAGAGAUCGGGAGGAAUACCAGUGGCGAAGGCGGCCUUCUGGACUGACACUGACACUGAGGUGCGAAAGCGUGGGUAGCAAACAGGAUUAGAUACCCCAGUAGUA